rnacentral:rRNA from 1 species
UACGAAGGGGGGCUAGCGUUGCUCGGAAUCACUGGGCGUAAAGCGCACGUAGGCGGAUCUUUAAGUCAGGGGUGAAAUCCUGGAGCUCAACUCCAGAACUGCCUUUGAUACUGGGGAUCUCGAGUCCGGAAGAGGUGAGUGGAACUCCGAGUGUAGAGGUGAAAUUCGUAGAUAUUCGCAAGAACACCAGUGGCGAAGGCGGCUCACUGGCCCGGUACUGACGCUGAGGUGCGAAAGCGUGGGGAGCAAACAGGG